GACGAACGCUGGCGGCGUGCUUAACACAUGCAAGUCGAACGGAAAGGCCCUGCUUUUGUGGGGUGCUCGAGUGGCGAACGGGUGAGUAACACGUGAGUAACCUGCCCUUGACUUUGGGAUAACUUCAGGAAACUGGGGCUAAUACCGGAUAGGAGCUCCUGCUGCAUGGUGGGGGUUGGAAAGUUUCGGCGGUUGGGGAUGGACUCGCGGCUUAUCAGCUUGUUGGUGGGGUAGUGGCUUACCAAGGCUUUGACGGGUAGCCGGCCUGAGAGGGUGACCGGCCACAUUGGGACUGAGAUACGGCCCAGACUCCUACGGGAGGCAGCAGUGGGGAAUAUUGCACAAUGGGCGGAAGCCUGAUGCAGCAACGCCGCGUGCGGGAUGACGGCCUUCGGGUUGUAAACCGCUUUCGCCUGUGACGAAGCGUGAGUGACGGUAAUGGGUAAAGAAGCACCGGCUAACUACGUGCCAGCAGCCGCGGUGAUACGUAGGGUGCGAGCGUUGUCCGGAUUUAUUGGGCGUAAAGGGCUUGUAGGUGGUUGAUCGCGUCGGAAGUGUAAUCUUGGGGCUUAACCCUGAGCGUGCUUUCGAUACGGGUUGACUUGAGGAAGGUAGGGGAGAAUGGAAUUCCUGGUGGAGCGGUGGAAUGCGCAGAUAUCAGGAGGAACACCAGUGGCGAAGGCGGUUCUCUGGGCCUUUCCUGACGCUGAGGAGCGAAAGCGUGGGGAGCGAACAGGCUUAGAUACCCUGGUAGUCCACGCUGUAAACGGUGGGUACUAGGUGUGGGGUCCAUUCCACGGGUUCCGUGCUGUAGCUAACGCUUUAAGUACCCCGCCUGGGGAGUACGGCCGCAAGGCUAAAACUCAAAGGAAUUGACGGGGCCCCGCACAAGCGGCGGAGCAUGCGGAUUAAUUCGAUGCAACGCGUAGAACCUUACCUGGGUUUGACAUGGAUCGGGAGUGCUCAGAGAUGGGUGUGCCUCUUUUGGGGUCGGUUCACAGGUGGUGCAUGGCUGUCGUCAGCUCGUGUCGUGAGAUGUUGGGUUAAGUCCCGCAACGAGCGCAACCCUUGUUCACUGUUGCCAGCACGUUAUGGUGGGGACUCAGUGGAGACCGCCGGGGUCAACUCGGAGGAAGGUGGGGAUGACGUCAAGUCAUCAUGCCCCUUAUGUCCAGGGCUUCACGCAUGCUACAAUGGCUGGUACAGAGAGUGGCGAGCCUGUGAGGGUGAGCGAAUCUCGGAAAGCCGGUCUCGGUUCGGAUUGGGGUCUGCAACUCGACCUCAUGAAGUCGGAGUCGCUAGUAAUCGCAGAUCAGCAACGCUGCGGUGAAUACGUUCCCGGG
rnacentral:rRNA from 1 species